AAACGUUCACUUCGUCUCGACGAAGCGCAGACAAGCCAGGCCAUGGAACGGGGACCUGGA
ncrna:unclassified sequences Glutamine-II riboswitch (downstream peptide RNA)